rnacentral:rRNA from 1 species
UACGAAGGGGGCUAGCGUUGCUCGGAAUCACUGGGCGUAAAGGGCGCGUAGGCGGCCAUUCAAGUCAGGGGUGAAAGCCUGUGGCUCAACCACAGAAUUGCCUUUGAUACUGUUUGGCUAGAGACCGGAAGAGGUAAGUGGAACUGCGAGUGUAGAGAUGAAAUUCGUAGAUAUUCGCAAGAACACCAGUGGCGAAGGCGGCUUACUGGUCCGGUUCUGACGCUGAGGCGCGAAAGCGUGGGGAGCAAACAGG